AGCGAACGCUGGCGGCAGGCCUAACACAUGCAAGUCGAACGAUCCUUCGGGAUAGUGGCGGACGGGUGAGUAACACGUGGGAACGUGCCCUUUGGUACGGAACAACUCAGGGAAACUUGAGCUAAUACCGUAUGAGCCCUUCGGGGGAAAGAUUUAUCGCCAUUGGAGCGGCCCGCGUCUGAUUAGCUAGUUGGUGAGGUAAAGGCUCACCAAGGCUACGAUCAGUAGCUGGUCUGAGAGGAUGAUCAGCCACAUUGGGACUGAGACACGGCCCAAACUCCUCCGGGAGGCAGCAGUGGGGAAUCUUGCGCAAUGGGCGAAAGCCUGACGCAGCCAUGCCGCGUGAAUGAUGAAGGUCUUAGGAUUGUAAAAUUCUUUCACCGGGGACGAUAAUGACGGUACCCGGAGAAGAAGCCCCGGCUAACUUCGUGCCAGCCGCAGCGGUAAGAC
rnacentral:rRNA from 1 species